GAUGAACGCUGGCGGCGUGCCUAAUACAUGCAAGUCGAGCGAACGGACGAGAAGCUUGCUUCUCUGAUGUUAGCGGCGGACGGGUGAGUAACACGUGGAUAACCUACCUAUAAGACUGGGAUAACUUCGGGAAACCGGAGCUAAUACCGGAUAAUAUUUUGAACCGCAUGGUUCAAAAGUGAAAGACGGUCUUGCUGUCACUUAUAGAUGGAUCCGCGCUGCAUUAGCUAGUUGGUAAGGUAACGGCUUACCAAGGCAACGAUGCAUAGCCGACCUGAGAGGGUGAUCGGCCACACGGUAACUGAGACACGGUCCAGACUCCUACGGGAGGCAGCAGUAGGGAAUCUUCCGCAAUGGGCGAAAGCCUGACGGAGCAACGCCGCGUGAGUGAUGAAGGUCUUCGGAUCGUAAAACUCUGUUAUUAGGGAAGAACAUAUGUGUAAGUAACUGUGAACAUCUUGACGGUACCUAAUCAGAAAGCCACGGCUAACUACGUG
rnacentral:rRNA from 1 species